AUCUGAUUGGUUGCUAUGGGCAACUGGUCAACUUUUCCUCUGCACAGAUUUGACAGCAGGCUUGGAGAUGGGGAGAGGAGGGGGUUGACCGAAGCCUCAAGCAUAAUCCAUAGAUCUACCACUACCUUCAAGAUGGCCAAGGACAAGAUGAAUGGCAGCAUCCCGUGAUUGGGACACAAAGAUUCCUUCUCCCAGGUGCCCAGUCCAGCAUCCUAUUUUCAGCUGGAAUGGAUACCUUGUAGCCUUCUUCCAGAACCAGCGUAACUACUGACCUGACCGACAUCGCAGAUGAUUGGGACUGAUGCACGGCGUCCACAAGGGAGCUUCAAGAGUGUAUGGCACACUCUUCAAUGCGAUUAUCAGUGUUGUCUCUGAAGGGCAACAUAAAAAGCAGCACUACAUUGAUGGCGGCUCCAGUUUUCCUGUAUAUUAUUUUGUACACUGAAGACCGAUUAUUACAGGUCCAGGCUGCUCCUCUGGAAUCUCUCAGACUACUCAUUUUAUGAAGACGUCUUUCCUGGAUUAUUUUGACAGCUUUCCUGGGUUUGGCAGCUGACACACUAGGAAUCAGUGGCCCCGGACUUGUUCACACAGCAGGUUUUUCCUCAGCAUGACCAUAUUUGAUAUUCUUGGUUCAUCUGUUCAUGUGUUUUAGAAAGUGCUAUAAAAAUAUGACAUCUUC